rnacentral:rRNA from 1 species
AUUGAACGCUGGCGGCAGGCCUAACACAUGCAAGUCGAGCGGAGCGGGGGACGGGUGAGUGAUGCCUAGGAAUCUGCCUGGUCUUGGGGGAGAGGGUCAGGAAACGGGCGCUGAUACCAAAUCCUAUCGGAUGAGCCUGGGUCGGAUUAGCUAGUUGGUGGGGUAGAGGCAUACAAAGGCGACGAUCCGUAACUGGUCUGGGAGGAGGAUCAGCCACACGGGAACUGAGACACGGUCCAGACUCCUACGGGAGGCAGCAGUGGGGAAUAUUGGAAAAUGGGCGAAAUCCUGAUCCAGCAAUGCCGCGUGUGUGAAGAAGGUCUUCGGAUUGUAAAGAACUUUAAGUUGGGAGGCGUUACUAACAGAAGAAGCACCGGCUAACUUCGUGCCAGCAGCCGCGGUAAUUC